rnacentral:lncRNA from 1 species
AUUUGAUCCCUGGCCUGCGAACAUCCAUAUGCUCUAAGUGUGACUGGAAAACAAAAAAAAAGUGAAAGCAUGCCCAAUUGCAAUUUGAAACUACUGGGACUUGUUAUAUACAGAAACAUAAAUUUAGGUAAAUUAGAGUUACAAUUAGCAUCACUCAGGUACAGUAGGCCAUUAUCCAUUCUUGAUAGUUUAACAUUUGCUUUCCUCCCUUCUAUCCGAAGCUGAGUGACUUUUUCCCCAGCUUCACUGAUGACAAGAAAAGCAAGAAUUUGCAUGUGUGGAAGUCAUGACCACCUCUCAAGUUUAGUGUGAAAUCCCUCUUAUCCAAACCAUCUAAUUUUUGGCUUACUGGCAUUACCUUACUUUGCCCAUAGAAAUCCCCUAGAAUCAGGCUCUUAAAACAAGUGCAAUGACCUUUCUCAACACAUUUCAUCCAUUUCUCCUUUUUUUUUUUUCCCAUUUUAUUGCUGCACCUGUGUCACAUGGAAGUUCCCAGGCUAGGGGUGGAAUUGGAGCUGCAGCUGCCGACCUACACCGCAGCCACAGCAACACCAGAUGUGAGCUGCAUCUGUGACCUUCGCUGCAGCUUGCAGCAACGCUGGACCCUUAACUCACUGAAUGGGGUCAGAGAUCGAACCCACAUCCUCAUAAACAUUAUGUUGAGUUCUUAACCCACUGAGCCACAAUGGGAACUCCCAUUCUUUUUUCUUCUUUCCUUUCUGUCUUUUUUUUUUAGGGCCGCAUCUGUGACAUAUGGAAGUUCCCAGGCUAGGGGUCGAAUCAGAUCUGUAGCUGCCAGCCUGUGCCACAACCACAGCAACAUCAGGUCUGAGUCACAUCUGUGACCUACAGCAUAGCUCACAGCAACGCCGGGAUCAUUAACCCACUUAGUGAGGCCAGGGAUCGAACCCGUGUCCUCAUGAAUACUAAUCUAUCUCCUUAACACUGAGCCACACGGAAAUUCCCGAGAACUCCCAUUCUUGUUUUUAAUGCCUGUAUGUUGUCAGAUAAUCCGAGUCUCUCCAAAAUCAUUACCUUAUUCUGACUUGCCCUUCAAAUUCUCUUUUAUUUUAAAAAGCUUCAAGUUGAAUUUAUUAUAUAAUAAAUUCAAGUAGAAAGAGAGUAUUAUGGAAUGCAUCAUGUUAGGUUAUAGCUAACCAUGUGGGGACAAUAUUAAAUCCCUUCUAAUACACCUGUACACACAUACCUAUGGUAUUUUAUAUACUAGGAUUAGUCUUUGAUUUAGCAGUUCUACACAUUUACUUUAGGGAAAUAGUCACAUAUAUGAUUAAAUAUAUAUUUACCAGAAGGACUGUUGUUAAGUUAUAUGUUAUACUUUAAAACAAAGCCAAAAAAUAAACAACAAACUCCACCACCUUAGGCAUAGGAUUACAAGAUAGAUUAUUUGAUUGAACCAACUAUAGUAUAUACAAGAAUGACACAGACUGAAACCAUUAAACUCCCCCCCAGGUAGCUUUAUAUGUAUGAGUAGGAAAAAAAUCCAUGAUACUAAGCCUAGCCCAGAGUAAUAUUUAUAGUGUGAUCCCAUUUUUGUAAAAAAAUUUAAAAAUUCAUGUUAUAUGCAUAGACGCAGCCUGGAAGGUUACCUCUCUGAUUUCUGAGAGUGGGACUGUGACGAGACCUUCACUUCAUGCAUUUUAUUACUCGUUAUUACUGUUGCAUUUUUCUUACAGUAGGUUUCAACCAGGAAAAACCAUGAAGAUACUUCAAAUUUCAAUACUCAUCCUUAUAUUCUUGAAGAUACAAUUUUCUCUUUGUGUCUCAUACAGUCUCUUUUUAGACAUUAGCAGAGAACGAGGCAUUUCUAGAAUUCAUUUCCUCUCCAUUUUCUCUGUUUAGUUUCAGAUAUCAUUAAAGCCAUGUGAGUUAGGAGUGUGUGUGUUUGGGUAUAUGGUUUUGCUUCUAGGAUGCAUAACCGAGGUGUAACUAUCAUCCCCAUUAACUCAGGGAUAUCUUAACAAACCAUGGAAAAUUGAGCCUUUUCCAUCUUUUUGCUGCAUGGAAUCCUGUUGGUAAUAUUAUCUCGAACCUCACAUUCUUUGAUCUUUGGCAUUUGGCACACCCAGGGAUUCUGCUGGAAUUCAGCAGAUCAACUCCCUGCCUUAGCUGAGUUACUUAAGACCUAGUUCUGGGGAGAUUGUUUUAAAGUUCAAUUUAAUAGACCAGUCUUGAGCUGUCACUCUCCCUUGCGAGUGACGUGGGGCAAAACUUAGAAAAUCUCAGAAUACCCAGAAGAGGAAAUCACUACCUCCAGUCUUCAUUUGACGGAUGAGAAAAUUGAAAUCCGUGAUUUCCUGUAAAGUGGGGAAGUUAAACAAGAUGAUUUAUUGGUUCCCUUUGGCUUCUAAGUCUGCGAUUCCUGUUUCCUAGUCAAGAUCACGCAUUCCAUCCCCGUGGAUAUCAGGUUAUUUUCCAGGGAAGCUAGAUUGCUGAUGUUUGGCCACAAACCAUGUGUUCACAGGAGUCCAGGGAAAAUGGUAGGUGAGGCAAGAGUGUAGGCUGAUCAAUGAAUAUUUACUCUCUCACUAGAAAAAGCCAUCGAAGGUGUAACUUAAAGGUUGUUCCCUGGUGCCAAAUGCUGCUUCACUCUUGCCUGAAUACUCAUGGAGCCUCUUCUAUCGGCCAGGCUGGGUCUUCAGCAUGACAGACAGGAGCGCUCCUCAUAAAGCAACGUGCUCUUGGAGGAAAUGGACAAGGAAUCACAGCUGUGAUUGCUAAUGAGUGUUCUGAGCCAUACGUGGUAGGUGGGGACCUCGGAGCUUCUGCAUUGUGCUCCUACAGUUUGAGCCCCCACACAAAGUUGUCCAGCUGAGGGAUCCGGCAGGCACUGAAGUCUAAACACUUGAAUCCACAGUUUUAAAUUAGAAUCACUCAGAGUUCCUGUCAUGGCUCAGUGGUUGACGAAUCCAACUAGGAGCCAUGGGGUUGCGGGUUCGAUCCCUGGCCUUGCUCAGUGGGUUAAGGAUCCAGCGUUGCCGUGAGCUGUGGUGUGGGUCGCAGACGUGGCUUGGAUCCUGAGUUGCUGUGGCUCUGGCAUAGGCUGGUGGCUACAGCUCCGAUUCGACCCCCAGCACCCUGGGAACCUCCAUAUG